AGCUUUGAUUAAGGUCAGAUUGAACGCUGGCGGGAUGCUUUACACAUGCAAGUCGAACGGCAGCACGGACUUCGGUCUGGUGGCGAGUGGCGAACGGGUGAGUAAUGGUCGGAACGUGCUCAGUAGCGGGGGAUAACUACGCGAGCAGCUAACAAUGGCAUACGCCCUUCGGGGGAAAGCGGGGGAAUCUCUGGGCCUCGCACUAGAGCGGCCGGGAUACGACGCAGCUAGUUGCGGGCAACGGCCGUACUGGGGCGCGACGAUCCAGCUGGUUUGAGAGGAACACCAGCCAGCCACUGGGACUGAGACAUUACCCAGACUCCGCAUGGGAGGCAGCAGUGGGGAAUUUUGGACAAUGGGGGAAACCCUGAUCCAGCCAUCCCGCGUGUGCGAUGAAGGUUUCGGGUUGUAAAGCACUUUUGGCAGGAAAAGAAACGGCAUCGAUAAUACCCGUGCAACUGACGGUACCUGCAGAAUAAGCACCGGCUAACUACGUGCCAGCAGCCGCGGUAAUACGUAGGGUGCAAGCGUUAAUCGGAAUUACUGGGCGUAAAGUGUGCGCAGGCGGUUCGGAAAGAAAGACGUAGAAAUCCCAGAGCUUAACUUUUGGAACUGCAUUUUUAACUACCGAGCUAGAGUGUGUCAGAGGAGGUGGAAUUCCGCGUGUAGUAGUGGAAAUGUGCAGAUAUGCGGAGGAACACCGAUGGCGAAGGCCUCCUGGGAUAACACUGACGCUCAUGCAAUGAAAGCGCGGGAGCAAACAGGAAUAGAUAAUUCCGUAGUCCACGCCCUAAACGAUGUCAUCCAGCUGUUGGGGCCUGGGCCUUAGCGCAGCUAACGCAGUAGUUGAACCGCCUGGGGAGUACGGUCGCAAGAUUAAAACUCAAAGGAAUUUGAUUGGGACCCGCACAAGCGGUGGAUGACAGAUUAAUUAUGCAACGCGAAAAACCUUACCUACCCUUGACAUGUCUGAAUCCCGUAAAGAGAUUGGGAGUGCUUCGCAAGGAACUGAACACAGGUGCUGUAUGGCUGUCGUCACUCGUGUCGAGAUGUUGGGUUAAGUCCCGCAACGAGCGCAACCCUUGGCCAUUAGUUGCUACGAAAGGGCACUCUAAUGAGACUGCCGGUGACAAACCGGGAGGAAGGUGGGAUGACGUGUCAAGUCCUCAAGGGCCCUGGCGGGGAGGGGCUUCACACGUCACAAUGGUCGGGACAGAGGGUCGCCAACCCGCGAGGGGAGCCAAUCCCAGAAACCCGAUCGUAGUCCGGAUCGCAGUCUGCAACUCGACUGCGGCUUGAAUCGCCAGUAAUCGCGGAUCAGCAUGUCGCGGUGAAUACGUUCCCGGGUCUUGUACACACCGCCCGUCACACCAUGGGAGUGGGUUUUACCAGAAGUAGUUAGCCUAACCGUAACGUUGAUAUGAUUACCAGCCGUAGGAUUCAUGACUGGGGUGGCGCCGUA
rnacentral:rRNA from 1 species